rnacentral:rRNA from 1 species
UGGGGAAUAUUGGGCAAUGGGCGAAAGCCUGACCCAGCAACGCCGCGUGAGUGAUGAAGGCCUUCGGGUUGUAAAACUCUUUGGACAGGGACGAAGAAAGUGACGGUACCUGUAGAACAAGCCACGGCUAACUACGUGCCAGCAGCCGCGGUAAUACGUAGGUGGCGAGCGUUAUCCGGAUUUAUUGGGUUUAAAGGGAGUGUAGGCGGUUGGUUAAGCGUGUUGUGAAAUGUAGAUGCUCAACAUCUGACUUGCAGCGCGAACUGGCUGACUUGAGUACACACAACGUAGGCGGAAUUCAUGGUGUAGCGGUGAAAUGCUUAGAUAUCAUGAAGAUCUCCGAUUGCGAAGGCAGCUUACGGGAGUGUUACUGACGCUUAAGCUCGAAGGUGCGGGUAUCGAACAGG